rnacentral:rRNA from 1 species
AUUGGACGCUGGCGGCAGGCCUAACACAUGCAAGUCGAGCGGAUGAAGGGAGCUUGCUCCUGGAUUCAGCUGCGGACGGGUGAGUAAUGCCUAGGAAUCUGCCUUGUAGUGGGGGAUAACGUCCGGAAACGGGCGCUAAUACCGCAUACGUCCUGAUGGAGAAAGGGGGGGAUCUUCGGACCUCACGCUAUUAGAUGAGCCUAGGUCGCAUUAGCUAGUUGGUAAGGUAAAGGCUUACCAAGGCGACGAUCCGUAACUGGUCUGAGAGGAGGAUCAGUCACACUGGAAUUGAGAGACGGUGCAGAGUCCUACGGGAGGCGGCAUUAGGUAAGCUUCCGCAAUUGGCGAAAGCCUGACGGAGCAACGUCGCGGGAGUGAUGAAGUUCUUCGGAUCUUAGAACUCUGUUAUUAGGGAAGAACAUAUGUGUAAGUAACUGUUCACAUCUUGACGGGACCUAAUCAGAAAGGCACGGCUAACUACGUG